ACCUUCGAGGUUACUACUCAUCUCACAACAAUAUUAAAAAAAUGGCACAACUUUCUCUUGAACAUCUUCAACAAUGAAAAUGUUCUCACUGGCUGAUUUCCUCUAGACUGCAGACAAAAAGUCAAACAGCAACUAUCGAGAAUUCGAGAGUAUUUGCCACUAUAAGCUACUUAUAUAAUAAACCAAGAAGAUCCAAACACAGCACUUUACCGACUGGUUUGCUAUUUAUAUGGAUGAGCAAGGAAACACAGUCCAUUGUAUUAGGCCACUUCAUGAGCUUCAUUUGCAAGAUGGAAAAUAAUCUAUUUAACAACUUGAAAAUACUUGUUAGGGGAUAGAAAUCGUUAACAUUUAGGCUGGGUUUUAAAAAGCGUGCCUAGGCGCAGGGUGCACUCAGGCGCAAGGUGGUUCAAUGAGGCGCACGGUGUACAAAAAGUGCAAGUGAUGCGCGCAGGGCACAUGAAAAAUAGGCUUGAGGCGCAGCCUUGAGUGUACCCUAUUGAACGUGGGAAUGGUUUGUGCAUUGGGAUGUUGUUACACAUAUAGUGUUUAUUUGUAUACUACACCAUAUAUAGUAACUUAUUGAUAUCUAAAUUUUGAGUACAUGAUUCUAGAACCUAUGAGAUGUAUAUAUACACACAUGCCUAACAUCUUGCGUACAAAAGGCGCUUUGCCCCUCACACCUUGGUGCGCCUUGUGCUUUCUAGAACAAGGCAUUCAGAUGACUUGGUAAUAGACAUUCAGGUUUCCGGAAUUCUAAGCAUCUAUAGAAUAUGAGUCAAACCUACCACUGUAUAUACUCUUUUGAAAGAGCAAUCCCGGUGGUCAUGGCUCCCGGGUCUGUGGG
rnacentral:lncRNA from 1 species